CUUGGUAAGAAGGUUAAGUUCGAAGAUGAGCAAAAUCGGCCAACUGUCACGCCCACAAAAUGGCGGAAACCGAAAACCUAUAAAGUGUCAUAACUAAGCCAUAAAUAAAGAUAUUAAAGUGAAAUUUGGCACAAAGGAUCGCAUUAGUGAGGGGCAUAUUUGGACGUAAUUUUUUUGGAAAAGUGGGCGUGGCCCCGCCCCCUACUAAGUUUUUUGUACAUAUCUCGGAAACUACUAUAGCUAUGUCAACCAAACUCUACAGAGUCGUUUUCUUCAGGUAUUUCCAUAUACAGUUCAAAAAUGGAAGAAAUCGGAUAAUAACCACGCCCACCUCCCAUACAAAGGUUAUGUUCAAAA